AAUAAAUUUAUAUGAUUACCUAUCAAAAAAAGAACAUUCAUAAGAUUGCAAAGGGAAUAAAAGUGCAAAAGAUAACAUUAGGAGAUUUCUCUAGACUCUCCACGCACAAGCUUUUUUUUUUUUUUGACGUCUCGUGAUCACAAAUGUCUCUGGCUGGGGGCUGGGGAGUGGAAAAUUUCUUGAAUUAUUAGCGAGAAGAAAAUAUACCCAUCACUGCAUACAUUUUGAUUCUAUAAGAUAAUGAUUAUCUCUAUCACGAAACAAAGGAGAAAGAUAACAUGCAGAUAAUGUGGAAGGAUUGGAUUACCUUUUGAUGUUCUUUACCUCGUAAUGGAAGCUCUGCGGACAGAUGAUCAGGAUCAAUUUUAGCAGGUGCCUAAUGCUUCAAACUGACAUCAUAAAAUGCUCCCUUAAAACUAGCUUGUGGUUUAUACACUUCAACCUUUUCAAAGAGCUGUACACCACAUACAAAGGUGAUAAUAUGCCUUGAACUACUUUUAAUGAUGCAGAUAUAUAUGAUGAUUUGAUAUCUCGGAGGGUUCACUUUAGUGAUGCUGAGAAGUUUGCAGAACUUUGCCCUUGCCCUUGUAAUAGUGCUUUCUGUUUUUAUAGUUAAAGAUGUGAAUAUUUGGGAUUUUUUUUUAUUGACGAGCCUGUCUUGUAGGGGAAUGAUAUCUUUCAUAUUUCUUUGUCGAGCUAUUUGGACUUUGUCAUCUUGUCUUGAGUUAC
rnacentral:lncRNA from 1 species